UACGAAGGGUGCAAGCGUUACUCGGAAUUACUGGGCGUAAAGCGUGCGUAGGUGGUGAGUUAAGUCUGUCGUGAAAGCCCCGGGCUCAACCUGGGAAUUGCGAUGGAUACUGGCAAGCUAGAGUACGGUAGAGGAUGGUGGAAUUCCCGGUGUAGCGGUGAAAUGCGUAGAGAUCGGGAGGAACACCCGUGGCGAAGGCGGCCAUCUGGACCAGUACUGACGCUGAGGCACGAAAGCGUGGGGAGCAAACAGG
rnacentral:rRNA from 1 species